CGCGUGAGGAACCUGCCUCAAAGAGGGGGACAACAGUUGGAAACGACUGCUAAUACCGCAUAAGCCCACGGCUCGGCAUCGAGCAGAGGGAAAAGGAGCAAUCCGCUUUGAGAUGGCCUCGCGUCCGAUUAGCUAGUUGGUGAGGUAAUGGCCCACCAAGGCGACGAUCGGUAGCCGGACUGAGAGGUUGAACGGCCACAUUGGGACUGAGACACGGCCCAGACUCCUACGGGAGGCAGCAGUGGGGAAUAUUGCACAAUGGGGGAAACCCUGAUGCAGCGACGCCGCGUGGAGGAAGAAGGUCUUCGGAUUGUAAACUCCUGUUGUUGAGGAAGAUAAUGACGGUACUCAACAAGGAAGUGACGGCUAACUACGUGCCAGCAGCCGCGGUAAAACGUAGGUCACAAGCGUUGUCCGGAAUUACUGGGUGUAAAGGGAGCGCAGGCGGGAGAAUAAGUUGGAAGUGAAAUCCAUGGGCUCAACCCAUGAACUGCUUUCAAAACUGUUUUUCUUGAGUAGUGCAGAGGUAGGCGGAAUUCCCGGUGUAGCGGUGGAAUGCGUAGAUAUCGGGAGGAACACCAGUGG
rnacentral:rRNA from 1 species